GGAAUUCCUAAAGCCAUAUAAAAAGGAUAAUGGCUUCGACAAAGGAUACAGAGCACCUAGUUUCAAGGAAAUGGCUGAAGAUAACUGAACAUACACAGACUCAAGAUGAACAAAAAGCCAAAGGAAAGCAUUACCUACCAUCAACUCCUUAAGGGCAGGAUCCCAGAUCCUGAAACCAAUGGACCAGAAUCCUGCCCCACUUCAAGAAUGAGUUGGCUCCUUGUUACCACGGUAAUAAGCGCCCCAUGAAUGGGGAUAAUUUGCCACUUUGCUGAAAAUUCAAGCAUUCUAUAGUUUUGGUUUUUUAACUGAGAAACGAGGUGGGAGGAGCAGCAGAACCAAUUAUAGAGUACAUUUAAACAA
rnacentral:lncRNA from 1 species